rnacentral:rRNA from 1 species
GAUGAACGCUAGCUACAGGCUUAACACAUGCAAGUCGAGGGGUAACGAGAGGAAAGCUUGCUUUCCUUGUCGACGACCGGCGCACGGGUGAGUAACGCGUAUCCAACCUGCCCCCAACUAGGGAAUAACCUUGCGAAAGUAAGACUAAUACCCUAUAAUUUCCUCAGAUGACAUCUGACGAGGACUAAAGAUUUAUCGGUUGUGGAUGGGAUGCGUCUGAUUAGCUUGUUGGCGGGGUAACGGCCCACCAAGGCAACGAUCAGUAGGGGUUUUGAGGAGAAGGUCCCCCACAUUGGAACUGAGGCACGGUCCAAACGCCGACGGGAGGCAUCAGUGAGGAAUAUUGGUCAAUGGGCGUAAGCCUGAACCAGCCAAGUAGCGUGCAGUAUGACGGCCCUAUGGGUUGUAAACUGCUUUUAUACAGGAAUAAAGUUAGCCACGUGUGGUUAUUUGUAGUUACUGUAUGAAUAAGGACCGGCUAAUUCCGUGCCAGCCGCCGCCGUAA